rnacentral:piRNA from 1 species
CUGCUAACUUUGAGAGCUAUGUCGUCGA